rnacentral:lncRNA from 1 species
AAAUCUUUUUGAGAAUUCAGUUAUUUACCAAGCAUUGAUUGGGGAUAUACUUAGGGUCUCUGACUUUAUGAAUUUUUUUUACAACAUUUUGUAAUACUUUAAUUUUAGAUUGCUUAAAAGUUUUAAAAAUGAUACAGAAAGUUCAUGUAGCUUCUAAUAUAUUUAUUCCUUUACACAGCAGUGAGACUUUAUCAACGCUGUCUCGACUUCAUUUCUCAAUACUGCUGACAGACUUUAUUUCUCAAUACUAGUAACAGGUUUUUGAGGUCAGUAGGUCUUACCUGGUCAUUUGAUAACCUUUUUAAGGUGAUGUUGGCUUCUGAUAACCUCUUUAAGGUGAUGUUGGCUUUUGAUAACCUUUUAAAGGUGAUGUUGGCUUCUCUGUAUAGUUAUCAACUGCAGUUAACUUUAAGGGAGAGUCUUUGCAACCAUAGAGCACAAAACUGUUCAUUCUCAAAUCUUCAUCAGUUGAUUCUUGAUGCCUAUGGUGAAGCCAGACUGACGCAAUGAUUGCUGUAAUGUUUGCUUAGUGGGGUGUUUUUUUUUUUUUUUCCUUUCUUGGCUGUUAAAUUGGAAGUUUCCUAUAUGAAAGAGAUUAUCUUUUGUCUCCUAUUCCUUUCCUUAUUUGAUCAGCUAUGUCAAUAUAUACUCAUGGAAAUUAAUUUUAUUCUGUAGAUUAAAAUACAGAGCACAUUUUAAAAAUUAAAUGUUUCUACUUGGGAGCCAUAAUAGAGUGUUAUCAGCCUUUCCUCUGCACUGCCCAGAGAACCUCGAGGUAGCAAGACCAAGUGCCUGGGGUGACGUGCCCACACACCGUGUCUGUGGUAGCUGUGGGUCGCCUUAGAGGGCUUAGGAUACAGAUUUUGGUGCCUACCAGCUGCUGAAUGCCAUCAUAGCCUUUCUAUCCCGUGCAGGAGCAUUUAUUGCAUAAACGUGGCACCUUGGAGGCAUGGAAAUGGUGUCUGUUUAUGCCCAGUUGCUGUUGGUUAUAGUUUACUUUCCUUAUUAGAUAAUCUUUACUAUUAUGGAAAGUUUAAAAAACACACAGACAUACAAAGACCAUGAACCCUUAUGUCAUUGUCUCCUAACUAUGUUUUACCAUGUUUUACCGGUCUCGUUUCAUGUGUUUCUCUUCUUUGGAGUGAGAAGAGGCGACGAGAGCACGUUUGAAAAUCAAACUGUAGACAUUAAGGGCAGGGAGAAGACUGAACUAAAGAAGGGCAGUACUUCCCUUUUGGCCUGUGGGUGUCCGCUGCGCCUGUGAAUGUCCAUGCCUGUGCUCAGAACUGGCAGGUGCUCAGAGCAGACCCAUUGCAUUGAGGGAAGGGAAAGCUUGCUCAUGGCACACACCUUUAAUAUCAGAGCUCGGGAGGCAGAGGCAUCUUUAUGAAUUAGAGGCCAGCCUAAGCUACAGAAUGAGUUCCAGGACAGCCAUGGCUACACAGAGAAACCUUGUCUCAAAAAACAAAACAAGACAACAACAAAACAAAACAAAACC